rnacentral:rRNA from 1 species
UACGUAGGGGGCAAGCGUUGUCCGGAUUUAUUGGGCGUAAAGAGCGUGUAGGCGGUUUGGUAGGUCCGCUGUGAAAACUCGAGGCUCAACCUCGAGACGCCGGUGGAAACUGUCGAGCUAGAGUCCGGAAGAGGCGAGUGGAAUUCCUGGUGUAGCGGUGAAAUGCGCAGAUAUCAGGAGGAACACCAAUGGCGAAGGCAGCUCGCUGGGACGGUACUGACGCUGAGACGCGAAAGCGUGGGGAGCAAACAGG